GACGAACGCUGGCGGCGUGCCUAAUACAUGCAAGUCGAACGCAUUUUCUUUCACCGUAGCUUGCUACACCGAAAGAAAAUGAGUGGCGAACGGGUGAGUAACACGUGGGUAACCUGCCCAUCAGCGGGGGAUAACACUUGGAAACAGGUGCUAAUACCGCAUAAUUCCAUUUACCGCAUGGUAGAUGGGUGAAAGGCGCUUUUGCGUCACUGAUGGAUGGACCCGCGGUGCAUUAGCUAGUUGGUGGGGUAACGGCCUACCAAGGCUGCGAUGCAUAGCCGACCUGAGAGGGGGAUCGGCCACACUGGGACUGAGACACGGCCCAGACUCCUACGGGAGGCAGCAGUAGGGAAACUUCGGCAAAGGACGCAAGGCUGACCGAGCAACGCCGCGGGAGGGAAGAAGGGUUUCGGAUCGUAAAACUCUGUUGUUAGAGAAGAACAAGGAUGAGAGUGGAAAGUUCAUCCCUUGACGGUAUCUAACCAGAAAGCCACGGCUAACUACGUG
rnacentral:rRNA from 1 species